rnacentral:rRNA from 1 species
AUUGAACGCUGGCGGAAUGCUUUACACAUGCAAGUCGAACGGCAGCACGGACUUCGGUCUGGUGGCGAGUGGCGAACGGGUGAGUAAUACAUCGGAACGUGCCCAGUCGUGGGGGGUAACGUAGCGAAAGCUACGCUAAUACCGCAUACGAUCUAAGGAUGAAAGCGGGGGAUCGCAAGACCUCGCGCGAUUGGAGCGGCCGAUGGCAGAUUAGGUAGUUGGUGGGGUAAAGGCUCACCAAGCCGACGAUCUGUAGCUGGUCUGAGAGGACGACCAGCCACACUGGGACUGAGAAACGGCCCAGACUCCUACGGGAGGCAGCAGUGGGGAAUUUUGGACAAUGGGCGCAAGCCUGAUCCAGCCAUUCCGCGUGCAGGAUGAAGGCCCUCGGGUUGUAAACUGCUUUUGUACGGAACGAAAAGGCUCUGGUUAAUACCCGGGGCUCAUGACGGUACCGUAAGAAUAAGCACCGGCUAACUACGUGCCAGCCGCCGCUGUAA